UACGGAAGGGGGCUAGCGUUGUUCGGAAUUACUGGGCAUAAAGGGCGCGUAGGCGGCCUUCUAAAGUCGAACGUGAAAUCCCCGGGCUCAACCCGGGAACUGCGUCCGAGACUGAAAGGCUCGAAUCCGGGAGAGGGAUAGUGGAAUUCCAGGUGUAGCGGUAGAAAUGCGUAGAUAUCUGAAGGAACAUCAGUGGCGAAGGCGACUUCCUGGACCAAUACUGACGCUCAGGUGCGAAAGCGAUGGGGAGCCAAAGCA
rnacentral:rRNA from 1 species